rnacentral:rRNA from 1 species
UACGUAGGGUGCGAGCGUUGUUCGGAAUUACUGGGCGUAAAGGGCUCGUAGGUGGCCAACUAAGUCAGACGUGAAAUCCCUCAGCUUAACUGGGGAACUGCGUCUGAUACUGGAUGGCUUGAGUUUGGGAGAGGGAUGCGGAAUUCCAGGUGUAGCGGUGAAAUGCGUAGAUAUCUGGAGGAACACCGGUGGCGAGGGCGGCAUCCUGGACCAACACUGACACUGAGGAGCGAAAGCCAGGGGAGCAAACGGG